UGGAUCCAGACUUUGAUCCUGGCUCAGGAUGAACGCUAGCUACAGGCUUAACACAUGCAAGUCGAGGGGCAGCAUGGUCGUUGCUUGCAAUGACCGAUGGCGACCGGCGCACGGGUGAGUAACGCGUAUCCAACCUUCCCCCUACCCGGGUAUAGCCCGCCGAAAGGCGGAUUAAUCCCCGAUACGUCCCCUGACGGCAUCAGGCGGGGACGAAAGGUAUUCCGGUAAGGGAUGGGGAUGCGUCCGAUUAGCUUGUUGGCGGGGUAACGGCCCACCAAGGCAACGAUCGGUAGGGGUUCUGAGAGGAAGGUCCCCCACAUUGGAACUGAGACACGGUCCAAACUCCUACGGGAGGCAGCAGUGAGGAAUAUUGGUCAAUGGGCGGAAGCCUGAACCAGCCAAGUAGCGUGCAGGAUGACGGCCCUACGGGUUGUAAACUGCUUUUUUGCGGGAAUAAAGCGGCUCACGCGUGGGCCUUUGCAUGUACCGCACGAAUAAGGACCGGCUAAUUCCGUGCCAGCAGCCGCGGUAAUACGGAAGGUCCGGGCGUUAUCCGGAUUUAUUGGGUUUAAAGGGAGCGUAGGCCGCCUUUUAAGCGUGCUGUGAAAUACCGUUGCCCAACAACGGGGCUGCAGCGCGAACUGGAGGGCUUGAGUUCACGGGAAGCCGGCGGAAUUCGUCGUGUAGCGGUGAAAUGCUUAGAUAUGACGAAGAACUCCGAUUGCGAAGGCAGCCGGCUGUAGUGUUACUGACGCUGAAGCUCGAAAGUGCGGGUAUCGAACAGGAUUAGAUACCCUGGUAGUCCGCACGGUAAACGAUGGACGCCCGCUGUGCGCCCUUUAGGGUGCGCGGCCUAGCGAAAGCGUUAGGCGUCCCACCUGGGGAGUACGCCGGCAACGGUGCAACUCAAAGGAAUUGACGA
rnacentral:rRNA from 1 species